rnacentral:rRNA from 1 species
GAUGAACGCUAGCGGCAGGCCUAAUACAUGCAAGUCGGACGGGAUUCAGGAGCUUGCUUCUGAUGAGAGUGGCGCACGGGUGCGUAACACGUAUGUAACCUACCUUUAUCAGGGGGAUAGCCUCUCGAAAGAGAGAUUAAGCCCGCAUAAAAUCACAGCACAGCAUUGUGUAAUGAUCAAAUAUUUAUAGGAUAAAGAUGGGCAUGCGGAACAUUAGCUAGAUGGCGGGGUAACGGCCCACCAUGGCGACGAUGUUUAGGGGAUCUGAGAGGAUGGCCCCCCACACUGGUACUGAGACACGGACCAGACUCCUACGGGAGGCGGCAGUAAGGAAUAUUGGUCAAUGGGCGGAAGCCUGAACCAGCCAUGCCGCGUGCAGGAAGACGGCCCUACGGGUUGUAAACUGCUUUUAUACGGGAAUAAACCCAGAUACGUGUAUCUGGCUGAAUGUACUGUAAGAAUAAGGAUCGGCUAACUCCGUG